AUCACCGCCACCUACUGGUCUGGAGGGGAAUCAGGCGUUUAUAACCCGGGAUGGCAGAGGCAUUGGAGCUGCAGGAAGUUCUGAUGGAGGACCGGCAGCACAUCUGAGACCUUCACACCUUCUGUGUGUUUCUACUCAUGACUGUGAUGGUGUAUUGAUAUGUGGAAUACAGCUGAAAAAAGCUGGUUUGGGUUCUGAGUCCAAAGACCGUCCAGUCUCUUACAUAUUAUGUAAAACCAACUUUUUUGAACUCUACAUCAUGUUAUAAUAUUAUUCGCUCAUCAAAAA